AGAUAUGAGGCAAUUGCUGUGACAUCUGUCACCCCAUUGAUCACAAGGGUUGAUUUGGCUGAUCUGGCUGUAUCUAUACAGGUGUCCCUUUCCUCCCCAACCACUCCAUGUGCAUCCCUCCUGAAGCUGUGCACUUGGUUGAAGAGGAUGAUCAUUCCCAAUACAGAAGGACUGUUCUUCAGUCAAGGAUAUAUGAGCAGCUUCACUCCCCUGCUAGAACCUGCAGACAAGCUCUCAAGGUCCAUUGAAGGAGAAUGUAGGGUAGUCAAGGUUCUAAGAACCAGGCACAUCUAAAUGAGGCACUGCAUGUAGCAGUUUGCCUUUCUUU
rnacentral:snRNA from 1 species